rnacentral:lncRNA from 1 species
AUUCAUUGAGUGAUACUCCUUUCAGUAGAGCCCGUAGAUACCAAAUUGCGAGUUCCAGUGUCACCCAUUACAUUUAAUGAAGUAUUUAAACCAUUUUUCUCUCAGAGAGUUGGCCACAAAGUGUUGCUCUAAUUCCUAUGUGUCUCUUCCCCACGCUUCAUCAAAGCUCAGCUAUUGAGAAGUCGAGAGAGAGGAAACGGUGACAUUUAAAGUGUUGGGGUUACAAAUAGGCCUUGUUAGGACCAGGGAUUUAGCUCAGUGGCACCGUGCCUUCCUCACAAGCGCAAGGUCCUGAUUUCAAUCCUUGUACCAAAAAAAAGACAAGGCCUUGGGUUUUCCCAUAGGAGGUUGGGUAUUCUUGUUUAUUCCUUGUCUUGACUAGGUUAGAGAGACUUCGUAGAGCAGUGGUAGUGAACCUACAGCAUGACAUGCAUGCCACAGCAGGAUGCUUGUUAGCAUUGAAAGCUUUAAAAGGUGCUCUUGGCCAGGGAUUUAGCUCAGUGGUGAUGCAUCUGCCUCACAAGCGCAAGGUUCUGAGUUCGAUCCCUGGUACCGGAAAAAAAAAAAAGGUGCACUCACUUGUCUAGGGAUGUGUGAAGAAGUGGCCAUUACCAAAAAAAAAAAAAGAAGUGGCCAUGUAGUGUUGAUGAAAGUACGCCGUGAGCUGAGGAAUGUACAGUGUGAGCAGUCAUCGGAAGUUAGCAGAAGAGGUAGCGCAGACUAGAUGGUGGAAGAGUCUAGGAUGUGAUGGCAGUUGGCCUCGGAAUUAUGAUGCUUGUGAGGGAUGGGCAGCCCUUUCCUUAUUUAAUUCUGCAAGACAUCUGUUUUUUAAAAGCCUUGAAGGUACUUUGGUCAUGUAAGGCAUAAAGUGGCAUUUUGUAGAUAAGUUUAAAAGUACGCAGCUAGAGAUGCGGGGUGUAGCUCAGCGACAACGCUUGCUUAACUGCACCUUGGUUCCCCAGCAGUGUGGUGGGGGGAGGAAGCAUGCAGACCGGAAAUAGCAUGACACUCCCUUAGGAAUGGGAAGCGCUGAUCUUCCCUGGUGGCGCCCUGAGCCUGGUGGAGGCUGGGUGAGCACUGCAGGGUAAAUGUGGGUGCGAUAGCUGUGCUCACCAGCGCUGGG